rnacentral:rRNA from 1 species
AGAGUUUGAUCCUGGCUCAGGACGAACGCUGGCGGCAUGCCUAACACAUGCAAGUCGAACGAGAAAGUUCCUUCGGGAGCAAUUAAAGUGGCGCACGGGUGAGUAACGCGUAGACAAUCUGCCCUUCAGUCUGGGACAACUUUUCGAAAGGAGAGCUAAUACCGGAUAACAAUGCAUGACACAAGUUGUAUAUUUGAAAGCUUUAUGUGCUGAAGGAGGGGUCUGCGUCCCAUUAGCUAGUUGGUAGGGUAAAGGCUUACCAAGGCAACGAUGGGUAGCGGGUUUGAGAGGACGAUCCGCCACACUGGAACUGAGACACGGUCCAGACUCCUACGGGAGGCAGCAGUGGGGAAUAUUGCACAAUGGAGGCAACUCUGAUGCAGCAAUGUCGCGUGAGUGAAGAAGGCCCUUGGGUCGUAAAGCUCUUUUAUGGGGGAAGAUAAUGACGGUACCCCAAGAAUAAGCACCGGCUAACUAUGUGCCAGCAGCCGCGGUAAUACGGAGGGUGCAAGCGUAGUUCGGAAUUACUGGGCGUAAAGUGCGCGUAGGCGGAAUAGUAAGUCGGAGGUGAAAGCCCGGGGCUCAACCCCGGAGGGUCUUUCGAAACUGCCGUGCUAGAGAUGGUCAGAGGCGGGUGGAAUUCCUGGUGUAGAGGUGAAAUUCGUAGAUAUCAGGAGGAACACCCGUGGCGAAAGCGGCUCUCUGGCACAUUACUGACGCUGAGGCGCGAAAGCGUGGGGAGCAAACAGGAUUAGAGACCCUGGUAGUCCACGCCGUCAACGAUGAGAACUAGCUGUUGGGAGGGUUACCUCUUAGUAGCGAAGCUAACGCAAUAAGUUCUCCGCCUGGGGAGUACGGCCGCAAGGCUAAAACUCAAAGGAAUUGACGGGGGCCCGCACAAGCGGUGGAACAUGUGGUUUAAUUCGAUGCAACGCGAAGAACCUUACCUACUCUUGACAUCCUUGGAAGCUCGUAGAGAUAUUAGUGUGCCUUCGGGAACCAGGUGACAGGUGCUGCAUGGCUGUCGUCAGCUCGUGUCGUGAGAUGUUGGGUUAAGUCCCGUAACGAGCGCAACCCUUAUCCUUAGUUACCAGCACGUUAUGGUGGGCACUCUAAGGAGACUGCCGGUGAUAAACCGGAGGAAGGUGAGGACGACGUCAAGUCAUCAUGGCCCUUACGAGUAGGGCUACACACGUGCUACAAUGGGCAGUAUAGAGGGUCGCAAUGCCGCAAGGUGGAGCAAAUCCCAGAAAGCUGCUCUCAGUCCGGAUUGGAGUCUGCAACUCGACUCCAUGAAGUUGGAAUCGCUAGUAAUCGCGAAUCAGCAUGUCGCGGUGAAUACGUUCUCGGGCCUUGUACACACCGCCCGUCACACCAUGGGAGUAGAUUGUACCAGAAGCGGGUAGGAUAACCUUAGGGAGGCCGCUCACCACGGUAUGAUUCAUGACUGGGAUGAAGUCGUAACAAGGUAACC